rnacentral:lncRNA from 1 species
ACAGAGUCCACGCCCCGCGCGGCUCCCUCGCGUCCCGCGUCCCGCGUCCCGCGUCCCCUGCUCACCCGGUGGCAAAGCCGGCGAGGAGGCGGCGGCGCUGGUGGGGACUGACCCGGCAGUCCGAGAAUCCACCGCGGCCUUUUCACCCAACCGCCCCCUCCUGCGUGGGGGCCCCGCAUCCCCUGGACUGGCGUGGGCUCUGGGGCCCGAUGCCCUGGCAGCCCCGGCCAUCUCUGCCGCUGGCCGCGGGUACCUGCUCACCUGUCCACGCCGUGGCCGACCCGGGGAUCACCGACAGCCGGGCCAUGCCUCGAGUCCCGCCGCCCGCGCCGCUGCUCGGCUUCUCAGAAACGCACCUCCACGCCGCCAGCCGGGGCUCCAGGGUCCACCGCCCGGGCCCGGAGGACUGGCGACUCCCUCCGAGGUUGGGAGCGCUCCGGAUUUCUCCAACUUCAGGAGACAGGGUUGCGCUCUGUUACCCAGGCUGGAGUGAUCAUGGCUCACUGCAGACUCAACCUCCUGGGCUCAAGUGAUCCUCCCACCUUAGACUCCUGAGUAGCUGGAACUACAGGCUUGCACCACCAUGCCCAGCUAAUGUUUUAACUUUUUGUAGAAAUAGGGUCUCCUGGGCUCAAGUGGUCCUCUGUCUCGGCAUCCGAAAGUGAGCCACUGUACCCAGCCUGAUUUAUGUUUUUAAGAGAUGUCCUGGCUGCUGUGUGGAGAACAGAUGGAGGCCAGGCAAGGCUGAGGAGAACAAUUCAGAGCCUGGUACAACAGACUGAGCUAGAGAUGACGGUGGCUUGAAACAGAGCAGUAAUAAUAACGGAGGAGGAGAAAACUGGUCAGAUAAAGGAAAUUACCUGAAGGCAGAGCUGACAGGAUUUGCACACGGACUGGAUGAGGAACGCAACAGAAAGGGAGAGGUCAAGAUGACUCAGGCUUUCCACUUGAGCAACUGGGUGAGGCGAGGUGCCCCUUACUGAGAUGCUGGUUUGAUUUGAUUUGAAGCUUGAGAGGAUAAGAAGCUUUGUUUGGAAACACUGAGUUUGAGAUGCCAGUUGGCCAUCCAAGUGCGGACACUAGGAAGGCACGGGUUCUACUGUUGGUCUCUGAGGCGGAAUACUACACCUCGGGGGUUGACAAGAUGAUCCACCGGGUGGGAGCACGUUUCUACACCCAUGCCUACGAAUUUUCACCUAAAAUAAGAAACAAACGAAGCUCCUCUGGUUUAGAAUAUGGUGUAAGAGCAGCCUCCCAGCCAGUCUCCAUCUCUGUGAGGCACAAGACACAUGUGAGGAGCCAGGGUCGCCAAGAAAAGAGAAGCACUGGCACCCACAACUCGGGCGCAGGGCACUGACUGACUCUCGCCUCUCAAUACAUAGAGAAUAGUUACAGCUUAGCUAUGCCUGGGUAAUGAGAUGUCCUGACCUAUAUGAUCGUGUUUUUAACUAAACUAACCAUCACAAAAUAGAAAGCAGCUUUGAUGGAUUCCCGGAAAGAACACCCGACUGAAGGGCGUAAACGUGACGCGAGCCCAUGCGCACCACAGGAGUGUCCGUGGGCGCAUCUUCUGCUCCUAGCACAGCAGCCACGCGCGUCCGCACCACAGGAGAGGGCCCGUGGGUGCAUCUUCUGCUCCUAGCACAGCAGCCACCCGUGUCCACAGUGGAGCGGAGGUUUCCCAUCCAAGACCCCCAGUGGGUGCCUGGAACCUCGGAGAGUACCACACCCUAUAUACACUAGGGGUUUUCCUAUGCGUGCUUAUUCAUGAUAAAGUUUCAUUUAUAAAUUAGGCACAGCAAGAGAUUAACAAUAAUAAUAAAAUAAAACAAUUAUCACAACAUAUUAUAAUAAAAAGUUAUGUGAAUGUGGUCUCUCUCUCAAAGUAUCUUAUAGUACCGUACUCACCCUUCUUGUGAUCUGUCAAUCUGAUAACUGAGAUGACUACUAUGUGACUAACAUGGGGGAGGGUAUACACCGUGGGUACACAGGAGAAAGGGAGGAUUCAUAUCCCAGGCAGGAUGGGGAGGGUACACAGCGUGGGUACGCAGGAGAAAGGGAGGAUUCA